rnacentral:rRNA from 1 species
CCUACGGGGGGCUGCAGUGAGGAAUAUUGGUCAAUGGACGAGAGUCUGAACCAGCCACGUAGCGUGAAGGAUGACUGCCCUAUGGGUUGUAAACUUCUUUUAUAGAGGAGUAAAACGAGGCACGUGUGCCUUUUUGCAUGUACUUUAUGAAUAAGGAUCGGCUAACUACGUGCCAGCAGCCGCGGUAAUACGGAGGAUCCGAGCGUUAUCCGGAGUUAUUGGGUUUAAAGGGAGCGUAGAUGGGUUGUUAAGUCAGUUGUGAAAGUUUGCGGCUCAACCGUAAAAUUGCAAUUGAUACUGGCAGUCUUGAGUACAGGUGAGGUAGGCGGAAUUCGUGGUGUAGCGGUGAAAUGCUUAGAUAUCACGAAGAACACCGAUUGCGAAGGCAGCUUACUAAACUGUGACUGACAUUGAUGCUCGAAAGUGUGGGUAGCAAACAGGAUUAGAUACCCCGGUAGUC